UACGUAGGGUGCGAGCGUUGUCCGGAUUUAUUGGGCGUAAAGAGCUCGUAGGCGGUCUGUCGCGUCCGUUGUGAAAACUCGAGGCUCAACCUCGGGCUUGCAGUGGAUACGGGCAGACUAGAGUGCGGUAGGGGAGACUGGAAUUCCUGGUGUAGCGGUGGAAUGCGCAGAUAUCAGGAGGAACACCGAUGGCGAAGGCAGGUCUCUGGGCCGUAACUGACGCUGAGGAGCGAAAGCAUGGGGAGCGAACAGG
rnacentral:rRNA from 1 species